rnacentral:rRNA from 1 species
CGUGCUAAGGUAGCAUAAUCAUUUGCCUCUUAAUUAGAGGCUUGUAUGAAUGGUUAAACGAAUUUUCACCUGUCUCCUUAAAAAAUAUAAAAAUUAAUUUUUUAGUGAAAAAGCUAAAAUAUAUAUAAAGGACAAAAAGACCCUGUAGAACUUUAUUUACGUAUAUUUAUAUAUUUUAUAUAUUAUUAAAAUAUAAAUAAACUACAAUUUGGUUGGGGUGACUUAGGAAUAUAAAAAACUUCCUAUAUAUAAUAGAAUUAUAAUUCUAAUCAAUGAACCAUAUUAUAUGUCAAUAAGAAU